GAUGAACGCUAGCGGCAGGCUUAAUACAUGCAAGUCGAGGGGCAGCGCGGGUAGCAAUACCUGGCGGCGACCGGCAAACGGGUGCGGAACACGUACGCAACCUUCCCAAAACUGGUGAAUAGCCCUCCGAAAGGAGGAUUAAUACACCGUACCAUAAUGAAGAGGCAUCUCUUUGUUAUUAUAGCCGCAAGGCGGUUUUGGAUGGGCGUGCGCCUGAUUAGGUAGUUGGCGGGGUAACGGCCCACCAAGCCUGCGAUCAGUAACUGGUGUGAGAGCACGACCAGUCACACGGGCACUGAGACACGGGCCCGACGCCUACGGGAGGCAGCAGUAAGGAAUAUUGGUCAAUGGACGCAAGUCUGAACCAGCCAUGCCGCGUGAAGGAUGACGGCCCUCUGGGUUGUAAACUUCUUUUAUCUGGGACGAAAAAAGGGCUUUCUAGCUCACUUGACGGUACCAGAGGAAUAAGCACCGGCUAACUCCGUG
rnacentral:rRNA from 1 species